rnacentral:tRNA from 1 species
ACCUGGCUGGCUCAGACAGUAGAGCAUGUGACUCUUAAUCUCAGGAUUGUGAGUUCAAGCCCCACCUUGGGCA